GACGAACGCUGGCGGCGUGCUUAACACAUGCAAGUCGAACGGAAAGGCCCUGCUUUUGUGGGGUGCUCGAGUGGCGAACGGGUGAGUAACACGUGAGUAACCUGCCCUUGACUUUGGGAUAACUUCAGGAAACUGGGGCUAAUACCGGAUAGGAGCUCCUGCUGCAUGGUGGGGGUUGGAAAGUUUCGGCGGUGGGGGAUGGACUCGCGGCUUAUCAGCUUGUUGGUGGGGUAGUGGCUUACCAAGGCUUUGACGGGUAGCCGGCCUGAGAGGGUGACCGGCCACAUUGGGACUGAGAUACGGCCCAGACUCCUACGGGAGGCAGCAGUGGGGAAUAUUGCACAAUGGGCGGAAGCCUGAUGCAGCAACGCCGCGUGCGGGAUAACGGCCUUCGGGUUGUAAACCGCUUUCGCCUGUGACGAAGCGUGAGUGACGGUAAUGGGUAAAGAAGCACCGGCUAACUACGUG
rnacentral:rRNA from 1 species